UACGGAGGAUCCAAGCGUUAUCCGGAUUUAUUGGGUUUAAAGGGUGCGUAGGUGGCCUGGUAAGUCAGGGGUGAAAGACGGUAGCUUAACUAUCGCAGUGCCUUUGAUACUGCCGGCUUGAAUGAACUAGAGGUAGGCGGAAUGUGACAAGUAGCGGUGAAAUGCAUAGAUAUGUCACAGAACACCGAUUGCGAAGGCAGCUUGCUAUGGUUUUAUUGACACUGAGGCACGAAAGCGUGGGGAUCAAACAGG
rnacentral:rRNA from 1 species